GACGAACGCUGGCGGCGUGCUUAACACAUGCAAGUCGAACGGAAAGGCCCUGCGUUUGUGGGGUGCUCGAGUGGCGAACGCGUGAGUAACACGUGAGUAACCUGCCCUUGACUUUGGGAUAACUUCAGGAAACUGGGGCUAAUACCGUAUAGGAUCUCCUGCUGCAUGGUGGGGGUUGGAACGUUUCGGCGGUUGGGGAUGGACUCGCGGCUGAUCAGCUUGUUGGUGGGGUAGUGGCUUACCAAGGCUUUGACGGGUAGCCGGCCUGAGAGGGUGACCGGCCACAUUGGGACUGAGAUACGGACCAGACUCCUACGGGAGGCAGCAGUGGGGAAUAUUGCACAAUGGGCGGAAGCCUGAUGAAGCAACGCCGCGUGCGGGAUGACGGCCUUCGGGUUGUAAACCGCUUUCGCCUGUGACGAAGCGUGAGUGACGGUAAUGGGUAAAGAAGCACCGGCUAACUACGUG
rnacentral:rRNA from 1 species